rnacentral:rRNA from 1 species
UGUGUAGGCGGUUUGGUAAGUCUGGUGUGAAAUCUCCCGGCUCAACUGGGAGGGUGCGCCGGAAACUGCCGGACUCGAGUGCGGGAGAGGAAAGUGGAAUUCCUGGUGUAGCGGUGAAAUGCGUAGAUAUCAGGAGGAACACCGGUGGUGUAGACGGCUUUCUGGACCGUAACUGACGCUGAAACACGAAAGCGUGGGUAGCAAACAGGAUUAGAUACCCUGGUAGUCCACGCCCUAAACGAUGCACAUUUGGUGUGGGUCAUUCAGUUGAUCUGUGCCGGAGCUAACGCGUUAAAUGUGCCGCCUGGGGAGUACAGUCGCAAGGCUGAA